rnacentral:lncRNA from 1 species
GACCUGACGCUCUGCUUUCCCCUGACCUCCACUGACAUCUACGACCCGCCCUGGAGGCACGGAAGGCUGUGGGGUUCCAGCCCCCCAAACUGUGCAGCUGAGGAAAAUGAGCCGUGAAUGGGGGCAGAGCCAGAUCCUGGGCGGGACCCUGCGCAGGAUGAACUCAGGUACUUGGGGUCAGACCGGCUUCGAGGCCCCCGGACCGCCGUGUUAUCAGGACGGCAGCCAGAGGGACCCCGGGAAGAUGGGAGUGAGAGCUGCCUUCGUCUGCAAAAGUCUCCAGACACCACCUCACUGGUGAAGGCCAGAGACCCUAAACUGUCCCAAGACCACCUGACUGGGCUGCCUCCCUGCCACCUGGCUGCCAGCCUCUCUCAGAGCGCCUGCAAGCUAUUCCUCCAACCCAGAGUUUCCUUCCCAGCUAAAGGCCUUUGCACCUGCUGUUCCUUCUGCCUGGAAGUUCACCGCAGACUAUCCCAGGGCCUCCAUCCUUCCCAUUGCAUGGUCCCCAUCAGCUGCCGCCGCCUCUGAGAGCUCAGUCUCCACUGGCCAUCCUGUCUCUCAGCCCACUGCACUCUCCACUCUGCCAGAAAGUCCCCCAAUCAGUGACAACACAGGUCACGGUCCACACCUCACCUGGUUUGUCCCCAGUGCCCAGCAUCUGGCACCGAGCAGGUGCGUGCAAAUCCUGGACAGGUGGGCAAGCUGAUGGUGUCCAGAGGCCCCUGGUCCUUAAGGGCAGGGGUGGGGAUGGCUCAGAGGACAUAACCUUGCAGACCCGGGUUCAAAUCUGGGCUCCUCAGCUCAUUUGGUCCUCACACAGCCCAUGUUGGGAGAGCUAGUGUUCUCCCUGUUUUGCUGAUGAGACACAGAGAAGGUCAGCAACUCCCGAAGAUUGCCCAGCAAGUUGGGAGUAAAGCUGGUGCAAUUCCCACGUUUAGCUGCUAAACAGGGUGUCCUGUACUUGGUGUGUUCAAGCAGAAAUCCACACAUGGGAAGGUCAAGGCAACAUCCCUGGUACUCCAGCUUUGAGGUCCUAGGAAAAAGGGAACCUCCCAUUAAAUGCUUCUAUUGCCGGGAAGUUCAGCACCUGUAAAAGCAGCCCCUUCCCGUUUCACUGUGGCUGCAUUUUAAUUCUUAUUUUUUAAAUGUUUAGCUUAAGGCCGGGCACAGUGACUCACACUAUAAUCCCAGCAAUUUGGGAGGCUGAGGCGGGAGGAUCACUUGAGCCUAGGAAUUCAAGACCAGCCUAGGUAACAUAGUGGGACCCUAUCUCUACAAAAAAUAAAAAAUUAGCCAGUCAUGGUGGCAUGCUCCUAUAGUCCCAGCUUGGAGAUUGAGGUGGGAGGAUCACCUGAGCCUAAGAGGACAAGGCUAGAGUAAGCCCUGAUCCCGCCAGCACCCCAGCCUAAGUGAAAGAGCGAGAGCCUGUCU